rnacentral:tRNA from 1 species
AGCUUAAAAGGCAAAGGAUUUCUAAUCCGUAGGUCACAGGUUCGAGCCCUGUCCGGA